UAGGGAAUUUUUCACAAUGAGCGAAAGCUUGAUGGAGCAAUGCCGCGUGAACGAUGAAGGUCUUUAAGAUUGUAAAGUUCUUUUAUUUGGGAAGAAUGACUUUAGCAGGUAAUGGCUAGAGUUUGACUGUACCAUUUUGAAUAAGUGACGACUAACUAUGUGCCAGCAGUUGCGGUAAUACAUAGGUCGCAAGCGUUAUCCGGAUUUAUUGGGCGUAAAGCAAGCGCAGGCGGAUUGAAAAGUCUGGUGUUAAAGGCAGCUGCUUAACAGUUGUAUGCAUUGGAAACUAUUAAUCUAGAGUGUGGUAGGGAGUUUUGGAAUUUCAUGUGGAGCGGUGAAAUGCGUAGAUAUAUGAAGGAACACCAGUGGCGAAGGCGAAAACUUAGGCCAUUACUGACGCUUAGGCUUGAAAGUGUGGGGAGCAAAUAGGAUUAGAUACCCUAGUAGUCCACACCGUAACGAUAGAUACUAGCUGUCGGGGCGAUCCCCUCGGUAGUGAAGUUAACACAUUAAGUAUCUCGCCUGGGUAGUACAUUCGCAAGAAUG
rnacentral:rRNA from 1 species